UUUCUGGCUCUCACCCACGCUCGCCGUCCAGCCGGCUUCUUCUCGUCCCGCCCACACCAAGCCCUAGCCAAUAAGAAGCCAGCGCCCGGCAGGCGAGGGUCCUGGUGGGUGCGUGCGUGUGCGCGGUGGGUAGGGCGGGUCCCGGAUUGGCCCGGGCGGCGCGCGUGGGCGGUGGCUCCGUGUCUCCGGCUCUCGCGUAGGGAUCUCGUCUUGCGUGAGAGUUCAGCGUCAGGGCUUUGCCUGAGAGUUCAGCGUCAGGGCUUCGCGCAGGCCCUCUUCUGCGCCCUGGCUCCCAGCCGGGCGGAACCUCAGAUUUCUGUCGCGCUUUUCCUUUCGUGCAGCCGCGGCGAGCAUUGCGAACAUUGUGUUCCGCACGCGGGAGGGGCGGGGCCGGGCCUGAGGCGUUUCGGCCGCAGCCAGUCCUUGGGAGGCUCGGGGGAGGACGUCUCUGUGUUCCGGGGCGCCGGCCGCGAUUUGCCUGUUCUGGACAUUUCACAAAAAUGGAAUCAUAAGACAUGUGGAAUUUUGUGUCUGAUUUCUUUCACUUAACACAGCAUUUUCAAGGUUCAUACAUGUUAUAGCAUGAAUAAGUGUUUCAUUACUUUUUAAUGGCUAAAUACUAUUCCCCUGCAUAUAGUCCACAUUUUUGUGUAUCCAUUCAUCACUUGAUGAACAUUUGGAUUGUUUCUUCUUUCUUGCUAUUAUGAAUAAAGUUACUAGGAACACUCAUGUACAUGUUUAUUUCUUGGGACAUAUGAUUUGAGUUUUGGGGUAUAUGCCAAGGCUUAUGGUAACUUUAUGUUUAACUUUUUAAGGAACUGCCAAAUUGUUUUCUAAAGUAGCUGCAUCAUUUUACAUUCCCAAAAGCAAUGCAUGAGGGUUCCAGUUUAUCCACAUCUAUACCUACACAUGUCAUCGUCCAUCUUUUGAUUAUAACUAUCCCAGUGGGUGUGAAGUGGUAUAUCAUUGUGGUUUUAAUUUGCAUUUCCCUGAUGGCUAAUAAUGUUGAGUUUCUUUUCAUGUGUUCAUUGUUCAUUUGAUAUUUGGGGGGAAAUAUCUGUCUAGUUUUCUCAUGUGUUUAGAAGGUGGGGGACGAACAGUGAAGUAUCCUCCAGAUUGAUACUGAUAAUUUGUGCCCUUCCCCUACCAGCAAAAGGCCUGUGUAAUCUAUUUGCCUAUGAGACAGAGGACAUGUAAUCUGCUCACUGUACCCCGGGGUAGGGGUAUUGGCACAGCAGUCCUUGCCUGAAGUAGCACUGGGGGCAGUCUGUCAACAGCUCUUAAGUUGAAAUUUUUAAAGGCAAAUGUAAUCCUUUUAUUAUUUCCCAAGUAGAUUGGGGACCUCAGUGCUUUGGUUUACAGUGGACCCAUCCUACGGCAUCAGACAGAGUCAAAUUUCCCUCUAGCAGAAGGGCUCUUGCCCAGGCUAGUGCAUCUGCUUCAUGAUUGCCUGGCAGUGUGGGUGGGGAGUGAGCGGACACCUGCCGUACAUGGGCAGCUGUGUCAGGUUUAGUGCAUACACCCC
rnacentral:lncRNA from 1 species